rnacentral:misc_RNA from 1 species
UACAGAAGCCCCAAGCGUUACCCGGAUUUACUGGGCGUAAAGGGUGUGCAGGCGGUUGUGUUAGUCAUUUGUUAAAACUCUGGGCUCAACCCAGAGAUCGCGAAUGAAACGGCACAACUAGAGGAUGGCAGAGGUGCACGGAACUCUCGGUGUAGGGGUGAAAUCCGUUGAUAUCGAGGGGAACACCAAAUGCGAAGGCAGUGCACUGGGCCACUCCUGACGCUCAUACACGAAAGCCAGGGUAGCGAACGGG